GCGAGUGGGACACGUGACGAGCGUGGGUCGGCCUGGGGAAAUCCGCGAUCAUUAUAGUGCCGGAUCUCAAGGUCUAUUUAAACCCACCUUUCCGCCUUUAGAGGCCUCAUUCUGCCUGAAAGUUCUGUCGGUGUCUGUCUUCUCAUCGAGAGCUCUGACCCUCCUUGGCGUCUACCUUGGCCCUAAGCGUUCUUCGAGUCAUCCCUGUCCUCACACCUUCUGCAUCCUUCGGAGUGACUUAGGUCAGUCCCGAAACUUUCGUUCCCUUUCUUGCCAUUUGGGUGCCCCUUUUCCUCCAUUUUUCUUCUGUCGCAUUCCUUUGGUUUGGUUCCCCGCAAACCUUUCACCUCUUGUUCUGCCUGAUUUCUCUAGAAUUUUUAGGGUUCUUAUUUGAAAUGUCUUCCGACACCUCCGCCUCUAGUGGUUCCGGGAGUUCGUCCACCUCAGCCCUCCAGAACCCCCACACUAUAGACGAACCCACAUCUGGGGCUGGGCCUCGUCCGAUUUUUGCGUCGGGUGUC
rnacentral:lncRNA from 1 species